CCCCCCAAACACAUUCUCAAACCCUCUCCCUCAUCAUCUCUCACCCUCCGCCUCGCCGCAGCCAGAAAUCGUCCCACGGCGGAGGCCCACCACCAAAUGCCCUCAAAUAUUAACCACAAAAUCUCCACGCCCUCCUCAUUCCUAAUCUCCAAUCAAUUUCCCAAGUAAACAACCAAAACUCUGCGGAUUUCAGAUCUGGGCAUCCUCAGAAAACUCUAAUCCAUCCCUCUAUAAAUUUCUUUCCAAUAUUUGCUCAUUUUGAUAUCAAAACUUACACCAAUCUACUCAUCGUAUUGAGUACUGUCAUUUCAUGGCAGUUUUAUGAUAGUUCGCGAUCAUCGGUGAACGGUCAAGAACUGUUGACCACCCCAAUCACCACUCAGCUUCACCGUCUUCUUCCGACUUGCGAUGGACAGUGUUCCAUGCAUCACAGGAUGAGCUUCUAAGCUCAAACCUGUGGCCACGGGGCACUGACCAUUGCCGGCCGGAAUUUGUGCUUCGGCUAGGAUUCGUUCAAGAGAUCUAGGUAUAUCUUAUCAGACCAGACGUUAGUGAAUUAUCCGUAUGAGGAGACUUCGAGGUAUAUCUGCCAGCGUCCGCAGGCUCCGGAGUCCCCUUUUAUCUUAUUAUGUUGUCUUUCUUAUUUCCUUUAGACUCUGAUGUAUAGAGACACUUAGAAUAAAUUAUUAGAAGCGUGUGACUUAUUUCUACCGGGUUCUAGGAGUUGUACUUAUGUGAA